AUACGGAGGAUCCGAGCGUUAUCCGGAUUUAUUGGGUUUAAAGGGAGCGUAGGCGGACGCUUAAGUCAGUUGUGAAAGUUUGCGGCUCAACCGUAAAAUUGCAGUUGAUACUGGGUGUCUUGAGUACAGUAGAGGCAGGCGGAAUUCGUGGUGUAGCGGUGGAAUGCUUAGAUAUCACGAAGAACUCCGAUUGCGAAGGCAGCCUGCUGGACUGUAACUGACGCUGAUGCUCGAAAGUGUGGGUAUCAAACAGGAUUAGAUACCCUGGUAGUCCACACAGUAAACGAUGAAUACUCGCUGUUUGCGAUAUACAGUAAGCGGCCAAGCGAAAGCGUUAAGUAUUCCACCUGGGGAGUACGCCGGCAACGGUGAAACUCAAAGGAAUUGACGGGG
rnacentral:rRNA from 1 species